GCAUAUCAAUAAGCGGAGGAAAAGAAACCAACAGGGAUUGCCUUAGUAACGGCGAGUGAAGCGGCAAAAGCUCAAAUUUGAAAUCGGCCAGCAGGUCGAGUUGUAAUUUGUAGAUUGUAUCUUGAGAGCGGACUAAAGUCUGUUGGAACACAGCGCCUUAGAGGGUGACAGCGCCCGUAAAAUCUAUUCUCACUGUAAGA
rnacentral:rRNA from 1 species